CAAAGCACUUUGAAGAGAGAGUUAAAGAGGACGUGAAACCGGUAGGAUGGAAACGGAUAGAGCCAGCGAAGUCGCUUGUAUUCAGCCAAAGACUCGGUGCUGCCCGGCGUGGUGUUUCUUAUCGAGCACUGCGUUGGUGUCUGUGCUGGGUUGAGGUGCAUUUGCAGGCGUUUGCGCUGAGACUUGUGAGGCAGCUGCUGGACCCGUGUACUAGAGGCUUCCCUCUGGGUUGAACUUGGUCGCGGUUACAGUUGUUUGCCUUGCUCGUACUGGUCUGGCCUACGGACCUGGGCUAUGUGGUUGUUGCCUGGCGGUGGUAUCGCAUGCGAUGCCUAGUCUUGUGGCUUCCAUGUGGUUCAGUGUUCCCGGACCGACUCUCGGUGUAGAAGCUGGUCAUCUCUCCGACCCGUCUUGAAACACGGACCAAGGAGUUUAGCGUAUGCGCGAGUCAUUGGGUGUUAAAACUCAUAGGCGCAAUGAAAGUAAAGGCCCAGUCGCUGGGCUGACAUGUGAGUGGUGAGGCUUCGGCCCUGCCAUGCAGCAUGGUCCCGUUGCAGCCGCUUGCGGCGCAGCGGAGACAGAGCGUAUGCGCUGAGACCCGAAAGAUGGUGAACUAUUCCUGAGCAGGACGAAGCCAGAGGAAACUCUGGUGGAAGUCCGAAGCGAUUCUGACGUGCAAAUCGAUCGUCUGACUUGGUAUAG
rnacentral:rRNA from 1 species